GACAGAGGGUGCAAACGUUGUUCGGAAUUACUGGGCGUAAAGCGCGUGUAGGCGGCUAUGCAAGUCGGAUGUGAAAGCCCUCGGCUCAACCGGGGAAGUGCACCCGAAACUGCAAAGCUAGAGUCUCGGAGAGGAUCGUGGAAUUCUCGGUGUAGAGGUGAAAUGCGUAGAUAUCUGAAGGAACAUCAGUGGCGAAAGCGACUUCCUGGACCAAUACUGACGCUCAUGUGCGAAAGCGUGGGGAGCAAACAGG
rnacentral:rRNA from 1 species